rnacentral:rRNA from 1 species
GCACGGGGGGAGGAAAGUAGGGGAUCGCAAGGCCUUGCGCUCAUGGAGCGGCCGAUAUCGGAUUAGCUUGUUGGUGGGGUAAAAGCCCACCAAGGCGACGAUCCGUAGCUGGUCUGAGAGGACGACCAGCCACACUGGGACUGAGACACGGCCCAGACUCUACGGGAGGCAGCAGUGGGGAAUUUUGGACAAUGGGGGCAACCCUGAUCCAGCCAUGCCGCGUGUGUGAAGAAGGNNNNCGGGUUGUAAAGCACUUUUGUCCGGAACGAAACGGCGGAUGCGAAUAACAUCCGUUAAUGACGGUACCGGAAGAAUAAGCACCGGCUAACUACGUGCCAGCAGCCGCGGUAAUACGUAGGGUGCAAGCGUUAAUCGGAAUUACUGGGCGUAAACNNUGCGCA